rnacentral:rRNA from 1 species
CAGCAGCCACGGUAAUACGUAGGGUGCGAGCGUUAAUCGGAAUUACUGGGCGUAAAGCGUGCGCAGGCGGUUGUGUAAGACAGGUAUGAAAUCCCCGGGCUUAACCUGGGAACUGCGCUUGUGACUGCACAGCUAGAGUAUGGCAGAGGGGGGUGGAAUUCCACGUGUAGCAGUGAAAUGCGUAGAGAUGUGGAGGAACACCGAUGGCGAAGGCAGCCCCCUGGGCCAAUACUGACGCUCAUGCACGGAAGCGUGGGGAGCAAACAGGAUUAGAUACCCCCGUAGUCCCUGUCUCUUAUAC